ACUGCUAGUGGGUGCAGGCCAUGGGGCAGCCCUGGGCGGUGGGGACCGCGGAGGCGGCUCCCGCGCGGCUGCCCCUCGUGCUCACCGCGCUUUGGGCCGCGGCGGUGGGCCUGGAGCUGGCUUACGUGUUAGUGCUAGGCCCCGGGCCACCUCCGCUGGGACCCUUGGCCCGGACCCUGCAGGUUGCGCUGGCAGCCUUCCAGCUGCUCAACCUACUGGGCAACGUGGGGCUCUUCCUGCGCUCGGACCCCAGCAUCCGGGGUGUGAUGCUGGCCGGCCGUGGUCUGGGCCAGGGCUGGGCUUACUGCUACCAGUGCCAAAGCCAGGUGCCGCCGCGCAGUGGGCACUGCUCCGCCUGCCGUAUCUGUAUCCUCCGCCGGGACCACCACUGCCGCCUGCUGGGCCGCUGCGUGGGCUUCCGCAACUACCGGCCCUUCCUGUGUCUCCUGCUCCACGGUGCGGGCGUCCUGCUGCACGCCUCUGUGCUGCUGGGCCCGGCCCUGUCGGCCCUGCUGCGAGCCCACACACCCCUCCAUACCGCCGCCCUGCUCCUGCUGCCCUGGCUCAUGUUGCUCACAGGAAGAGUGUCUCUGGCGCAGUUCGCCCUGGCCUUCGUGACCGACACGUGCGUGGCGGGCGCGCUGUUGUGUGGGGCCGGACUGCUCUUUCACGGGAUGCUGCUGCUCAGGGGCCAGACCACGUGGGAGUGGGCUCGGGGCCAGCGCGCAUACGACCUGGGCCCCUGCCACAACCUGCAGGCAGCUCUGGGGCCCCGCUGGGUCCUUGUCUGGCUCUGGCCCUUCCUGGCCUCCCCGUUGCCAGGGGACGGGAUCACCUUUCAGACCACAGCUGACGUGGGACUCAUGGCUUCCUGACUGCAGGAAGCACCUGAGCUUGUACAAGCUGCACAAGGCGAGCAGGAGAGGGGACUCGUAACUCGUUUCAGGCCCACCCCCACCCCUAGCCUCAGAGGGAGGCAGGCUGGUACCUGAUGCCUGCUUUCAGCAACUCCCAUUGCCACCCUUGGGCUUGCCCUUGCCCAGCUUGGACUCCUAGGGUCCAGGGCUUGGGCCCUGGGAUUCAGCCUCUGUUAGUGGCCCCUGAGAACCAUGAAAGGUCUGGCAAGGGGCUGCUCAGCCUGCCUGGCUGCCCCAUUGCCAGGUUAAUAAAGUGCUCACUUGGUUCUGGGACUCCCUCCAGCUUUGUGGGUUUUUGGUCCUCCUCGGUGGCCCACGCUGCUGUUUUUGUUUCCUUCGACUGUCAGACCUGGGAACCACAGAAUGCCUGAGGGUGUGAGGAUCCAGAGCUCUGCCUCCUGUGGCCUUGGGGCAGGGGGGCUGGGGACUUGGGGUACAGCAGGCUAAGGCAGAAUGUAGUGAUCCAGGGUAUAAGAACCCGCAAUUCUUCCCCAGGUUGAGUGCUUUAUAGUGAGGAGCUUUUCAACAGCCACAACCUCACUGAACUUGCCUCCAGCUAACCCGGUACCCUGGGCAGCAAUUAUGCCAGUGAAGAACUUAACGCUGUGAGAGUUGAUGUGAAAUGGAUACGACUUCCCCGGCAGCCCAGUGGUUGAGACUCCGCGGCUCCCAAUGCAGGUGGAUACCGUGUGGUCCCUGCUGUGCCUGUCCCUGGUAGAGGACACACCGUGCUGUCUCAGUCAUUCCCUUGCUUGCUUUGUGAUUUUAUUAUAGAUGUUCUGUUUUGCAUGUUUCUUUUAUAUAAAUGAAGCUAUACCAUGUUUAUUUGACUGCAAUUUGCUUUUUCCUUUAAUACCAUGUGUCUGAGAUUUAUCCAGAUUAACAUGUGUAGCUGUAAGGCAUUCCUUUUCCUUGCUGUCUAGUGAUCCAUCAAAUAUAUAAUUUUUCUCUUUUGUCCCACUGAUCAUUUUAUCUACCUGUGUGUGUUCUCCUAAGAUCUACAGUUGGCCCUUGCUCUUCUAUAUAAAUUUUAGAAUCAGCUUGUUGCAUUCCAUCAAUAAAAACCCCUUUUAAAUUGUGAUGGAACCCAACUGAAUCUAUAUGUCA